AAAUGCUUGUCGUAGAAGGGUUGUAGCUGGUCCCCUCGGGGCACACGUGCACGCCCGGAUCGCAUCCACCUCCAACACCUGUGCACGACCUGUAGCUUGGGAUGAUCACGGGGCCCCCGUUGGCCACGAAUGCCCUCGUCUACGAAGUAUCUCACACACAACCAGUCAUGUGGAAUGUACACGCGAAGCGUCUAACGGACGCGACAAACACAACUUUCAACAACGGAUCUCUUGGCUCUCGCAUCGAUGAAGAACGCAGCGAAAUGCGAUAAGUAAUGUGAAUUGCAGAAUUCAGUGAAUCAUCGAAUCUUUGAACGCACCUUGCGCUCCUUGGUAUUCCAAGGAGCAUGCCUGUUUGAGUGUCAUGAAAUUCUCAACUGCCCCCAA
rnacentral:misc_RNA from 1 species